AUGGACGCAAGUCUGAUGGAGCAACGCCGCGUGAGUGAAGAAGGCUUUCGGGUCGUAAAACUCUGUUGUUGGAGAAGAAUGGUCGGCAGAGUAACUGUUGUCGGCGUGACGGUAUCCAACCAGAAAGCCACGGCUAACUACGUGCCAGCAGCCGCGGUAAUACGUAGGUGGCAAGCGUUAUCCGGAUUUAUUGGGCGUAAAGCGAGCGCAGGCGGUUUUUUAAGUCUGAUGUGAAAGCCCUCGGCUUAACCGAGGAAGUGCAUCGGAAACUGGGAAACUUGAGUGCAGAAGAGGACAGUGGAACUCCAUGUGUAGCGGUGAAAUGCGUAGAUAUAUGGAAGAACACCAGUGGCGAAGGCGGCUGUCUGGUCUGUAACUGACGCUGAGGCUCGAAAGCAUGGGUAGCGAACAGGAUUAGAUACCCUGGUAGUCCAUGCCGUAAACGAUGAAUGCUAGGUGUUGGAGGGUUUCCGCCCUUCAGUGCCGCAGCUAACGCAUUAAGCAUUCCGCCUGGGGAGUACGACCGCAAGGUUGAAACUCAAAGGAAUUGACGGGGGCCCGCACAAGCGGUGGAGCAUGUGGUUUAAUUCGAAGCAACGCGAAGAACCUUACCAGGUCUGGACAUCUUUUGAUCACCUGAGAGAUCAGGCUUCCCCUUCGGGG
rnacentral:rRNA from 2 species